rnacentral:lncRNA from 1 species
UUGAAAUCAAAUCAAAUCUUUCUAUUAUUGAAAGCAAAUACAUUUUGAAUUAGUAAAUUACAAACAAAAUCAGUCUAGAUACAAUCAAAUCCCAAACAUUAAACCUUUUUCUAAACAAAAUCAAAACUUAAUUAAAAUUAAAAUCUGAAUCAUAACCAAUCAAUCGAAAACUUCCUAAAGUUACAAAUCACAAUUAAAACCUAAAACCUAAAUUAAUCUAUAAAUAAAAGAGGAAUUAAUAUGAAGAAGGGGCGAGAAAAACCCUAAGGAUCAUCUCCAGCAACCGCGUUUCUGUAAUCCUUGAAACCUCACCAAAGCUCCGAUCAAACAGAAGUUAAGGUUUAAUAUCUAAACCCUAACUCUCUUGAGCUAAGCCUGGAUCCAGGAACCUCACACAAAGGAUAAUAGAGAGGAAAUCAGAAAGAGAAAGAGGAGUAAUCGAAUCAAAAGAAAAAGAAGGGAACAUAUCUUACCUCAUCGCUGAAAUAAAAAUUCAUUCCAUAUGCUGGGCUUUGUAAUCUCAUUAUUGCGUUAAAUUGUUGUUUGUAUGGAUAUGUUGUGGAUUCGAAUCAUGUCUGAUUUUGGGGUUUCUGGGAAAUUAGGGUUAUGGUUCAUCAUAGGUUAGGGUUAGGGUUCUACCUACAUAGGGUUAGGUUUCAUCUGGGUAAGGGUGGGGUUCUUCCAAGAACCCUUAGGGUUCGUGAGAACCCAACUAGGAUUCUCGAAUGUUAAGGGUUUCUAGGCUUUGGAUGAGUUAGGGUUCAUCUCAGGAACCCUAGGGCUCAUCUGGAGAACCCAGGUUGAAGGAAUGAGGAGAGGGUUCUGGAAAUUUGUUUGAAUAUUUGAAUUUUCCGGUUGAAGUUCAACUGGAAAAUUGGAGGAAGCAGUGGUUUGGACGGUGGGGGUGAAGAACAUGGGGCGGCCGAAGGGGAAGAUGGUUGAGAGAAUAGAGAGAGAACCAGAGAUAAGAGAGAGAGAGAGAGA